rnacentral:lncRNA from 1 species
CCUCAAUCGUUAAUAAAAUUAGAAACAAUGAUGUGGAAGGAUUGAAAAUCUUACUUGAGGAGGAGCCAGGCCAAGUAAGUUGUUCUGUUUAUUGCUUUCUCAAAUUUGCCUAUUUCUUUAUUAUUUUAUACGCAAUUUGAAAACUUCAAACUAACUGCAUAUAUUUCUCCAUAAUAUUUCAUUUCUUUCUCCAUCUCUUUCCUCUAAUCGCCAUUAAUAUUAUAAUAAAAGUAUUGACCAAGGCAGCGAGAUGGCAGAAGCGUUAGCACGCCAGGUGAAAUGUUUAGCAGUAUUUCGUCUGUGUUUACGUUCUGAGGUCAAAUUCCGCCGAGGUCGACUUUUCUUGUCAUCCUUUCUAGGUCGAAAUAUUAAGUACUAGUUGCCUACUGCGGUCGGUCUAAUCGACUGGCCCCCUCCCCCAAAAUGUCAGGCCUUGUGCCUUGAGUAGAAAAGAAUAUUAUUCUUGACCAAAUUUUGAGCAUGGCAAAGUAGAUGGAAUGUGAAUGAGAGAGAAACCCAUCAUCACACACUGCAAGGGAGUAUUCUGAUAUGAAAUUUUCAGAUAAGAUGAGAAACAGAUGGAGUCCGUAGAUAAAUGGUGACUUUUUAAAGAAGUCCUCUUGCCAUACAUAGACGAAGGUUUUACUGAAGUGAAGGGCUACACCAUUUUAUGCAGAUUUUGUCAAACAUAUGAAAACACUGGUGUGUCACACAGGUACCAAGCCCCUCUUGAUCUGGCUUUAUAAAAUUGUACUGGUGAGCAUUGAAUAAUGAAAGAUACCUAAAGGGACAAAUAUGAUGGUUGUUUGUGACUUUUUACUUCAUAAUUGAAACAUUGGAAGUUAGAAUGACUGGAUGGUAGUCACUCGAUAAGAUAUUGUCUGCAGGAAUAUUGAGCAGGAUUUCCCAGUGAGGUCAGUACUACCCAUGUGUCGGGGCGCUGUGGGAAAAUAGCAUAUGAGGUUAUGUAUAUAUGAAACACAAAGAAUGUGUACCUGAGUUUAACUGAAGCUAUGUAUCAACGGUUGGAUCAGUAAAGAAAACUAAGUGGUGAAGCAUCAAGUAUUCACUUAUUCUGGUGAAGGUUCUGUGGUAAGUAGUCACCCAUGUCAAGACUAGGAUCGAGAGGGAAAUUAUUCUAAUCUAGUAUUAAUUGAAACGACAUUAAUUAUGUGUUAUAUAGAGUCGUAGCAAGGAAAGGGACAUUGAGAAUUCCUUGGUAAAUGAAAAGAAACCAUAUUUAAAAGGUUUGAGAAUCCCUAGUAUAGGACCAUCAUGGUUAUGAAGCAGUUAGUAGGAUGAUUCUGUUAAAUUUAUUGAGAUUCUGUUGGUAGGAGACCAGAAAUCUUGGUUUUAAAUUAGGAGUGAAGAGAGCUGACAGAUGGUGAAAUGCAGAAAGAAGCAUCCUUUAUUUUCUUGAUGACCAUCAUACCUGUAAUUCAAUGGUGGGUGUAUGUCUGCCACUUUGUGAUGGUAGGUGUUUUCCUCCACAUGAUGUUGAUAUUGUCUAAACAGAUGUAAUACAGUUGUGUAUGAACAACUCACACCUUUUAACAUUUUGUAUGGCUACAAAGUACUAACGAAGCACUUAAUUUAAAAUGAAGCACUGCCUUAUUUAUGUUUUUAUUCCCCCAUCGUUUCCUUUCAUUUGUAUCCACUUUUUCACAUUUUGAACAUAUUCAACAGAAGUUGGUGUCAUCCAGAAGUUCCCACAGAUAUCUAGUCUCAAAUAAUUACUUUGUAUUAGAUUCAGUGACAAACAAAAAGUGGUUUUCUUUCUCUUCAUUGAGCUUAUGCAUGAAUUGAACCAUCUUCCUAAGCAUUUCGGGGAGCAUGGUAAUCAGGGAGGGCAAUAAGGUAACAAACAAAAUCAGGCUCCAAGUGCUAGGAGUAUUCCAUCAAUAGAGGUAAAUCCUAGUAAAUGCCUUGUAAAGAUGUUUGACAAGUCGCUGUCAGAGAGAAGCAAUGUCACCAAAAUUGUAAAGCAAGCAGAGGAGUGGCGGAUGAGGAUUGAUAGAUCAGGGCUUCCAGGAAAGUUUAGGGCAUGGCUCUACCAACACAGAAUGCUCCCAAGACUCAUAUGGUUGCUGACGCUGUAUGACGUUCCAAGUGUGGAAAGGGUGGAGAGAAAGAUAACUAAAUACCUCCGAAGAUUGCUAGGAGUUUCCCAAGCUUCACUUCAGUAGGCCUGUCCAUAAGUUCUGGAAGGCUAAAACUUCCCCUGUCGUAUUUAAUGGAGGAAUUUAAAGUAGCAAAAUGUAAUGUAAUGAUGUACAGAGUGUCUAAGGACGAGCUUGUCAGACAUGCAGGUAUUACCACAAGGUGUGGGUAACUAGCACUGCUGUCGCUCCGGCUGAAGGCAUGCUGGAGCUACGCGCCAUAAUUGGAGCUACAUGUUGGUGUCGCCAGGGACUUGGCUCUUUCUAUUUCCAAAAAUGGAAGAAAGCAGACACCAGGAAGAGGCGGGCUAUGACCGAGACAGCGGUUCGGUACCAGGAGGAAGAUAAAAGGAAAUCAAGAGCUGUGGAGUUGAUAUCUCUGAGUGCAUGGACUAAAUGGGAUCUCCCUGAGAGAAAGCUCACAUGGACUGACCUGUGGAGGCUGGAGCCUUUGCACAUCUCCUUCCUUCCUGGAGCGAUGUAUGACACACUCCCGACGCCAACAAACCUGUACAAAUAGGGUUUGAGGGAAGACCAGCUGUGUAGACUUUGUGGGAAAGGGGCACUCUGGCACACAUCCUGGUAGGGUGCAGAAUAACACUUUCUCAGGGCAGAUACAAAUACUUGCUCACACCCUGGAGCAGUAAAGGUGUGAGAAACAUCAUCACCAAGGGAAGAUAACUGCCGCAAUUAAGUUCGUGAAAGAGGGACAGAAACCAGUAAAGCCAGCAAAAGCAAUACACAGCUUGCUGCAAGGGUCUCAACCAUGGGAUAUGAAGGUAGACUUAGGGAAAAGAUUGCAGUUUCCCCAGGUUAUCCAUACAACACUGAGGACUGAUGUGGUUCUGUGGCCUGAAAAGGCCCAGAAAAUUAUCAUAAUUCAACGAACAGUCACGUAGGGAGCGGGUUAUAACAAGGCCCAUGAACGGAAGUGUGACAGAUAUAAGAGCUUUCUGCAGGCUCCAUUCGCUUUGGUGAAUAAAUAAAACACAUCCUUACAGGUGUUAUUAACUCGUAUAUAUAUGUGUGUGUGUGUGUGUGUGUGUUUGUGUGUGUAUGUAUGCUUGUGUAUCUAUGCUAGAGUGUGUCCCUAACUGGUAAUUGAUAAGCGGUGUUGGUGUAUUUGCAUCCCUGUUACUUAGCCCUGAAGCAAAAGAGAGCUAUAGGUUGGUGCUAAAUAAACAGGAAAGGUACCACACAUAAAAGACAAAACCGAGGAGGAACCCCAGCAUGGCCGAAGUCUCAUGACUGAAACAAGUACAAGAGAGAAAGAAAAAGAAAGAGAAAAAAGAAGAGAGGAAUAGAAAAAUAGAAGAAAGAAAAGGAAAAUUGAGAGAGAAUUAUAGAGAAGACAAAAAGAGAAACGAAACAGAGAAAGAGGGAGAGAAAAGAUAAAGAGAAUGAGAUUGAAAAAAGAAAAACAAGAGAGGAAAGAAAGAGAGAGAGAAAAAGGAACGAGAGAAAGAAAGAGAGAAAUGAAAGAGUGAGAGAGAGGAAGAAGGAUAAAAAUAAAACGAGAGGGAGAAAGAAGGAGAAAAAAUGAGAGAGCGAGAAAAGAAAGAGAGAGAAAAAGAAACGAGAGGAAGAAAGAGAGAAAUGAAAGAGUGAGAGAGAGGAAGAAGGAUAAAAAGAAAACGAGAGGGAGAAAGAAGGAGAAAAAAGCGAGAGAGCGAGAAAAGAAAGAGAGAGAAAAAGAAACAAGAGGAAGAAAGAGAGAAUUGAAAGAGUGAGAUAAAAAGAAAACGAGAGGGAGAAAGAAGGAGAAAAAAGCGAGAAGCGAGAAAAGAAAGAGAGAAAGAAAAAGAAACGAGAGGAAGAAAUAGAGAAAUGAAAGAGUGAGAGAGAGGAAGAAGGAUAAAAAGAAAACGAGAGGGAGAAAGAAGGAGAAAAAAGCGAGAAGCGAGAAAAGAAAGAGAGAAAGAAAAAGAAACGAGAGGAAGAAAGAGAGAAAUGAAAGAGUGAGAGAGAGGAAGAAGGAUAAAAAGAAAACGAGAGGGAGAAAGAAGGAGAAAAAAGCGAGAAGCGAGAAAAGAAAGAGAGAAAGAAAAAGAAACGAGAGGAAGAAAGAGAGAAAUGAAAGAGUGAGAGAGAGGAAGAAGGAUAAAAAGAAAACGAGAGGGAGGGAGAAGGAGAUAAAAGCGAGAGAUCGAGAAAAGAAAGAGAGAGAAAAAGAAACGAGAGGAAGAGAGAGAGAAAUAAGUGUGAGAGAGAGGAAGAAGGAUAAAAAGAAAACGAGAGGGAGAAAGAAGGAGAAAAAAGCGAGAGAGCGAGAAAAGAAAGAGAGAGAAAAUGAAACGAGAGGAAGGAAGAGAGAAAUGAAAGAGUGAGAGAGAGGAAGAAGGAUAAAAAGAAAAGGAGAGGGAGAAAGAAAGAGAAAAUGUGAGAGAGCGAGGAAAGAAAGAGAGAGAAAAAGAAAGGAGAGGAAGAAAGUGAGAAAUGAAUGAGUGAGAGAGAGGAAGAAGGAUGAAAAAGAAAACGAGAGGGAGAAAGAAGGAGAAAAAAGCGAGAGAGCGAGAAAAGAAAGAGAGAGAAAAGAAACGAGAACAAGAAAGAGAGAGAGAAUGAAGAAAUGUGAGAGUAAGAGAGAACAGACAAAGAAAACGAGCGAAAGAGAGAAAAGAAAGAGAUAGAGAGAGAAAGGAAACAGAGAUGGAAAGAGGGGAAUAUAGGAAAGAAAAUAGAGUGGGAAAUAGAGAGAGAGGAAGAAAGAUAGAAAAUAGAGGGAGGGGAAGGGAAGGGAGAGAAAGAGAAAACAAAGGGUAAGAGACAUAGAGAGAGAAAGAUAGAAAAGCAAAUGUGAGAGAAUGAAUGAAGAAGUGAGAGGAAAGGGAGAGAGAAAGGACAUCAAAGAAAGAGAGACAACUAAAAGAGAAAGAGGGUGAAUGAGAGAAAAGGCAACGAGAAGCACAGAAAGAAAGAGAGAGAAAGAGAUAAAAGUAAAAGAGAAAGAGAGAAGAAAAAAAAAGUUUGGGUGAAAGAGAGAAAAGAAGAAGUGAAGGAGAUAGAGAGAGAAAGAAAGAGAGGAAAGUAAUAGAGAGAGAGAGAUAAAGAAAGAGAAAUGGAAAAAGAGAGAAAGAGAAAGAAAAAGAGAGAAACAGAGAAAAGUAAAAUGGAAAAAGAGAGAAACGAAUGAGAGAGAGGGAAAUAGAGGAAGAAGAGAGAGGGAGAAAGAAAGAGAGAGAAGAAAAAGGGAAAGAGAAAGAAAUGAAAGCGAGAGAGAUACGGAGAGAGAAAGAGAGAAAUUGAGAAAUAGAGAAAGAGAAAGAUAAGAGAAAAAAGAAAAAGAGAAAGAGGAAGGAAACGAGAGAGAAAGAGAGGAGAGGAAAAUGGGAAAGAGAGAAAAGAAGAGAGAGGGAGAGAGAAAGAGAAAUAAAGACAGAGAAGGAGAAGGGAAAGAGAGGGAAAGUGAGAAAAGAAAGAGAAUGAAAGAAAUGAAAGAGGCGGAUAGAGAGAGAAAGAAGGAGAGAAAGAGGAAAGAAAACGAGAAAGAGAGUGAGAGACAAAGAGAGAACAGAGAGAGAGAGAGAGUAAAAGAGACACGGAGAGAGGAGAAAGAAAGAGAGAAAGAAAAAGGGGAAAGAGAGAGAAAGUGAGAAAUGAAAGAGAAGGAUAGAAAUGAAAGAGGGAGAUAGAGAGAGAAAGAAGGAGAGAAAGAGAGUGAGAGACAAAGAGACAAAAGAGAGAGAGAGUAAAAGUGACACGGAAAGAGGAGAAAGAAAGAGAGAGAGAAAAAGGGUAAAGAGAGAGAAUGUGAGAAAAGAAAGAGAAGGAUAGAAAUGAAAGAGGGAGAUAGAGAGAGAAAGAAGGAGAGAAAGAGGAAAGAAAACGAGAAAGAGAGUGAGAGACAAAGAGAGAACAGUGAGAGAGAGAGUAAAAGAGACACGGAGAGAGGAGAAAGAAAGAAAGAGAGAGAAAAAGGGGAAAGAGAGAGAAAGUGAGAAAAGAAAGAGAAGGAGAGAAAUGAAAGAGGGAGAUAGAGAGAGAAUGAAGGAGAGAAAGAGGAAAGAAAACGAGAAAGAGAGUGAGAGACAAAGAGAGAAAAGAGAGAGAGAGAGAGAGAGAGAGAGAAAAUGGAAUUUCUCUAUUUCACAUGUCCUCACUUUCUUCAUUACAGAUUAAUAAACCUAUUGAUGGAGAUGGACGAACUCCUUUAAUGUUUGCCUGUUAUAAGGGCGCCGAUAGAAGAAUCAUCGACAUUUUGAUAAAAGCUGGUGCGAAGUUAGGAGCGAAAAACAGAUGGGGUGAGACAGCUUUGCAUUUGGCUGU